rnacentral:rRNA from 1 species
GACGAACGCUGGCGGCGUGCUUAACACAUGCAAGUCGAACGGAAAGGCCCUGCUUGCAGGGUACUCGAGUGGCGAACGGGUGAGUAACACGUGGGUUAUCUGCCCUGCACUUCGGGAUAAGCCUGGGAAACUGGGUCUAAUACCGGAUAGGAGCCAUUUUUAGUGUGAUGGUUGGAAAGUUUUUUCGGUGUAGGAUGAGCUCGCGGCCUAUCAGCUUAUUGGUGGGGUAAUGGCCUACCAAGGCGGCGACGGGUAGCCGGCCUGAGAGGGUGGACAGCCACAUUGGGACUGAGAUACGGCCCAGACUCCUACGGGAGGCAGCAGUGGGGAAUAUUGCACAAUGGGCGCAAGCCUGAUGCAGCGACGCCGCGUGGGGGAUGACGGCCUUCGGGUUGUAAACUCCUUUCGCUAGGGACGAAGCUUUUUGUGACGGUACCUAGAUAAGAAGCACCGGCUAACUACGUG